GUCACUGGGAGUAAAUGCUCCCAAAUCGCAAGAAGUUAACGUUAACAGUUAAAUUUCGCAACUUGGACGUUGCCAUAGCUGAGCUAGACAGCUUUCUUUUUUCUUAAUAAACAUAUCCCACCCCCCUAGACAGCUGUUUCCCAAUAUCAUCAACAAUUCGUACACGAGCAACGCCUGAAGAAGUGGCGUCAGGUACCGGAGUCUUUUACCGGAGAGCCACACAGGCACUGUGUUGACUGCUUUGGCAGUAGUGGUGACGGAUUCGUCUAUCCCGACGUAGCCUACCUGCGUUCCUGUUCUGACCAGUGGUAAACUUACAACACAGGUACACAAGAAGGAAACUAGCGACGAAACGAAUGGAAUCUCGAAAGGGAAGAAGUGUAGUAGGGCACUUCUACAAUGGACAUGACCCCGUGGGUUCAUGUCACAUCAGCGUGCGCCAGAAUUGGUGGAUGCCUUCUACUGGAAGAACAGGCUUGGAUAUGAUCCACUACGCAACCCUGCGACAUGUCACCUUGUAAAGGACACUUAUUCGUCGUCAUCAACAUUGGGUGCAGCAAUCUUCGAGAGAUUUGUCUAAACAACCUCAUGGCUUCGGAACUUUCAGAUCUGGUCUGAAAGGAAGUGGAAAGUUGGUUCUGUUUGUCGAAGAGCGCCGAAGAGAGAAGUGUCGUGCACGGAGGCUACCAUUUGGCGUCGGUGCAGCGACUGCGCCCAAAGCCCCUGUCGAUAGUACAAAGGCCAACCCUGUUCAUUGGAACCGAGACAUCUUUUGACCGUGACCACUUCUUGAGGCCGGAGCUUCUGGAUGAAGU